CUAGGCCCGCCGUGAGGCGCGCUGAUCGCGGCGCAGAAGUCAGCAGAGGGCAUAGUAGCAGCCGGGUUUGCCUGCGGCGAAGGCC
rfam:Mesorhizobium metallidurans STM 2683, WGS project CATM01000000 data, contig: ANX_1634_Contig_168